UACGUAGGGUGCGAGCGUUGUCCGGAAUUAUUGGGCGUAAAGGGCGCGUAGGCGGCCCUCUAAGUCGAACGUGAAAUCCCUAGGCUCAACCUAGGAACUGCGUCCGAUACUGGGAGGCUUGAAUCCGGGAGAGGGAUGCGGAAUUCCAGGUGUAGCGGUGAAAUGCGUAGAUAUCUGGAGGAACACCGGUGGCGAAGGCGGCAUCCUGGACCGGUAUUGACGCUGAGGCGCGAAAGCCAGGGGAGCAAACGGG
rnacentral:rRNA from 1 species